GUGGUUGUGGCUCAGUGGUACAGCGCUUGUGUCGCACGCAUGAGGCACUAGGUUUGAUCCUCAGCACCACA
rnacentral:tRNA from 1 species